AACGAACGCUGGCGGCAGGCUUAAAACAUGCAAGUCGAGCGCCCCGCAAGGGGAGCGGCAGACGGGCGAGUAACGCGUGGGAAUCUACCCAUCUCUACGGAAUAAUGCAUGGUAACGUGUGCUAAUACCGUAUACGUCCUUCGGGAGAAAGAUUUAUCGGAGAUGGAUGAGCCCGCGUUGGAUUAGCUAGUUGGUGGGGUAAGGGCCUACCAAGGCGACGAUCCAUAGCUGGUCUGAGAGGAUGAUCAGCCACACUGGGACUGAGACACGGCCCAGACGCCUACGGGGGGCAGCAGUGGGGAAGAUUGGACAAUGGGCGCAAGCCUGAUCCAGCCAUGCCGCGUGAGUGAUGAAGGCCCUAGGGUUGUAAAGCUCUUUCACCGGUGAAGAUAAUGACGGUAACCGGAGAAGAAGCCCCGGCUAACUUCGUGCCAGCCGCCGCAGUAAUAC
rnacentral:rRNA from 1 species